AUUGAACGCUGGCGGCAGGCCUAACACAUGCAAGUCGAACGAGUGGCGGACGGGUGAGUACUGUAUGGGAAACUGCCUGAUGGAGGGGGAUAACGAGUGGAAACGGUAGCUAAUACCGCAUACCAUCAGAUGUGGCCAGGUGGGAUGAGCUAGUUGGUGGGGGAACGGCUCACCAAGGCGCCGAUCCCUAGCGGGUCUGAGAGGAUGACCAGCCACACGGGAACUGAGACACGGUCCAGACUCCUACGGGAGGCAGCAGUGGGGAAGAUUGCACAAUGGGCGAAAGCCUGAUUGAGCCAUGCCGCGUGUGUGAAGAAGGUCUUCGGGUUGUAAAGUACUGUCAUCGGGGAGGCGUUACCCGCAGAAGAAGCACCGGCUAACUCCGUGCCAGCAGCCGCGGUAAUAC
rnacentral:rRNA from 1 species